GGUGUUGCAUGGCUGUCGUCAGCUCGUGUCGUGAGAUGUUGGGUUAAGUCCCGCAACGAGCGCAACCCUCAUCCUUAGUUACCAUCAGGUAAUGCUGGGGACUUUAAGGAAACUGCCAGUGAUAAACUGGAGGAAGGUGGGGAUGAUGUCAAGUCAUCAUGGCCCUUAUGGAGCGGGCUACACACGUGCUACAAUGGUGGCUACAAUGGGCUGCAAAGUCGCGAGGCUAAGCUAAUCCCUUAAAAGCCAUCUCAGUUCGGAUUGUACUCUGCAACUCGAGUGCAUGAAGUUGGAAUCGCUAGUAAUCGUGGAUCAGCACGCCACGGUGAAUACGUUCCCGGGUCUUGUACACAC
rnacentral:rRNA from 1 species